rnacentral:rRNA from 1 species
AACGAACGCUGGCGGCAGGCUUAACACAUGCAAGUCGAACGAAGUCUUCGGACUUAGUGGCGGACGGGUGAGUAACACGUGGGAACGUGCCUUUAGGUUCGGAAUAACUCAGGGAAACUUGUGCUAAUACCGAAUGUGCCCUUCGGGGGAAAGAUUUAUCGCCUUUAGAGCGGCCCGCGUCUGAUUAGCUAGUUUGUGAGGUAAAGGCUCACCAAGGCGACGAUCAGUAGCUGGUCUGAGAGGAUGAUCAGCCACAUUGGGACUGAGACACGGCCCAAACUCCUACGGGAGGCAGCAGUGGGGAAUCUUGCGCAAUGGGCGAAAGCCUGACGCAGCCAUGCCGCGUGAAUGAUGAAGGUCUUAGGAUUGUAAAAUUCUUUCACCGGGGACGAUAAUGACGGUACCCGGAGAAGAAGCCCCGGCUAACUUCGUGCCAGCAGCCGCAGUAAAAC